rnacentral:rRNA from 1 species
UGAGCAGUCGGUAAGAGACAUUACGACUCACGGAUUUCCGAAUGGGGAAACCCACUUAGCAUAAGCUAGGUAUCGCUGCGUGAAUACAUAGCGUAGCGAGGCGAACCGGGAGAACUGAAACAUCUAAGUACCCCGAGGAAAAGAAAUCAACCGAGAUUCCCUCAGUAGCGGCGAGCGAACGGGGAUUAGCCCUUAAGCAUCUUGGAAGUUAGUGGAACGGUCCUGGAAAGGCCGGCGAUACAGGGUGAUAGCCCCGUACACGAAAACAACCUUGAUGUGAAAUCGAGUAGGGCGGGACACGUGACAUCCUGUCUGAAUAUGGGGGGACCAUCCUCCAAGGCUAAAUACUCCUGACUGACCGAUAGUGAACCAGUACCGUGAGGGAAAGGCGAAAAGAACCCCUGUGAGGGGAGUGAAAUAGAACCUGAAACCGUGUACGUACAAGCAGUGGGAGCCCUUCGGGGUGACUGCGUACCUUUUGUAUAAUGGGUCAGCGACUUACAUUUUGUAGCGAGGUUAACCGUAUAGGGGAGCCGUAGGGAAACCGAGUCUUAACUGGGCGUCUAGUUGCAAGGUGUAGACCCGAAACCGGGUGAUCUAGCCAUGGGCAGGUUGAAGGUUGAGUAACAUCAACUGGAGGACCGAACCCACUAACGUUGCAAAGUUAGGGGAUGACCUGUGGCUGGGGGUGAAAGGCCAAUCAAACUCGGAGAUAGCUGGUUCUCCCCGAAAGCUAUUUAGGUAGCGCCUCGGACGAAUACUACUGGGGGUAGAGCACUGUUUGGGCUAGGGGGUCAUCCCGACUUACCAACCCCAUGCAAACUCCGAAUACCAGUAAGUAAUAUCCGGGAGACACACGGCGGGUGCUAACGUCCGUCGUGAAGAGGGAAACAACCCAGACCGCCGGCUAAGGUCCCAAAGUUCUGGUUAAGUGGGAAACGAUGUGGGAAGGCUCAGACAGCUAGGAUGUUGGCUUAGAAGCAGCCAUCAUUUAAAGAAAGCGUAAUAGCUCACUAGUCGAGUCGGCCUGCGCGGAAGAUGUAACGGGGCUCAAACCAGGCACCGAAGCCGCGGAUUCACGCUAAGCGUGAGUGGUAGGGGAGCGUUCUGUAAGUCUGCGAAGGUGUAUCGAGAGGUAUGCUGGAGAUAUCAGAAGUGCGAAUGCUGACGUAAGUAACGAUAAAGGGGGUGAAAAGCCUCCUCGCCGGAAGACCAAGGGUUCCUGUCCAACGUUAAUCGGGGCAGGGUGAGUCGACCCCUAAGGCGAGGCCGAAAGGCGUAGUCGAUGGGAAGCAGGUUAAUAUUCCUGCACGACUUGUAAUUGCGAUGGGGGGACGGAGAAGGCUAGGUGGGCCAGGCGACGGUUGUCCUGGUGAAAGUGCGUAGGUGGUGUUUCUAGGCAAAUCCGGAGACACA